GCGAAAGUUCGAAUAUGCCAGAAGCAUCCAUAGCCAGACACGUGUCGGGCUUGAGAACGCGCCACGGACCCUCACACGUGGCAUCUAGUUUGCUUGUUCUCCGCGGAGUGAAAAAGAAGAGCAUCGCAAGAAGCAACCUAGGGAUUGUGUUUCUUUGUGACUAGAAUCGAUCGCGAUGAAGCAAGCACCGGGGCAGGACAAGGGGGUUUCCGUGGGGGAGGGCCUCAAGAACGCGGGCGCGACGAUGCAGGAGAACUUGGAGAAGGCGGGAGCAACGAUCUCAGCGCAGGUUAGGGUUUUUUUCUUUUCUCGCUUUGAGUUUGAUCCCGGGAUUGCAAUGCGCGAUGUAUGCAGGCCGAGAAGAUGAAAGGGGCAGGGGACGAAGAGGCGGGCAUCGCCGCGGAUUUGAGCAAGGACACGCGCCAGGCCGCCGCCGCCGACCGAGCUGAGGCCAAGAAGGCGCAGCACCACGAAGAAGCUAAGAAUCCAGACGACCAUCCAGCUCCAUUCACCAAGACACCGUUUGUCUAGAAACCCUUCAAAGAAAAUAGUUCUUGUCAUGUAUGAUCCACAUCGGUCAAAUAACCAUUGUGAACGCCGCUCAUGUGAUAACCUUCUUGAAGAGCCGCUAAGCUACAUGCUGUGCAAGAUCAGAUCCAUAGGAAAUAUGCUAACUAUAUAGGGUAUAGAUGGCUGUAGGAUGCUAAAUCUAAAACUUGCCCUUCAAUGGAUAAUCGUUAAGAGAUUCAAAUUGCACUCCAUUACCAAACUUUGAAAGCCUACUAUUGUU
rnacentral:lncRNA from 1 species